UACGUAGGGUGCGAGCGUUAAUCGGAAUUACUGGGCGUAAAGCGUGCGCAGGCGGUUUUGUAAGCCAGAUGUGAAAGCCCCGGGCUUAACCUGGGAGUGGCAUUUGGGACUGCAAGGCUCGAGUGCGGCAGAGGAGACUGGAAUUCCUGGUGUAGCAGUGAAAUGCGUAGAUAUCAGGAGGAAUACCGAUGGCGAAGGCAGGUCUCUGGGCUGACACUGACGCUCAUGCACGAAAGCGUGGGGAGCAAACAGG
rnacentral:rRNA from 1 species